rnacentral:lncRNA from 1 species
AGUGGGGUGGGGUAGGUUUUUGGAAUAUGAAAUUUAGGAUUCUAAUAAAUAUAUAAAUAAAUACUUAAAAAUAUUUAAAAAAUUCAAAAAAAAUUCAAAAAAAAAUUCAAAAAAAAAUUAUUAAAAAGUUCGAAUUUGAAAAAUUAUAAUUCGAAAACAUAAAAAAAAGUUAUAUUUUUAAUUUUUUAUUUAAAUAAUGAUUUAUUAUAUAUAUAGAGAACAAGAGUAUAAGAGUCUUUUGCCACUUAAUGAAUAAGAAAAUUUUGAAAAUUUUUUUUUA